UGAGGAAUAUUGGGCAAUGCCCGAAAGGGUUACCCAGCAACGCCGCGUGGAGGAUGAAGGUCGUAAGAUUGUAAACUCCUGUUAGAGGGGAAGAAUAACUAAGUUUGGAGCUUAGUAUGACUGUACCCUCAGAGAAAGCCCCGGCUAACUACGUGCCAGCAGCCGCGGUACUACGUAGGGGGCAAGCGUUGUCCGGAUUUACUGGGAGUACAGGGCGCGCAGGCGGAAUGGAAAGUCAGUGGUGAAAUCCUACAGCUUAACUGUAGAACUGCAUUUGAUACUUUCAUUCUUGAGGUCGGGAGAGAGAGACGGAAGUCCAGGUGUAGUGGUGAAAUACGUAGAGAUUUGGAAGAACACCAGUUGCGAAGGCGGUCUCUUGGUCCGAUACUGACGCUGAGGCGCGAACGCGUGGGGAGCAAACA
rnacentral:rRNA from 1 species